AUGGCGCGUGCGGUGGCCGCCGCCGCCGCGGCGCUGGCCGCCGUGCUGGUGUCCGUGCUGGCGCCGGCGGCGAUGGCGCAGAUGGACAGCUGCAGCGGCGACCUGCCGUUCGCGCUCGUCGGCAACUACUCUGGCCUCGCCUGCCAGCCCGUCUGGAACAACUUCGUGCUCCGGUACCACCAGGACAAGAACAACGUGCUGCGGGUGGUGCUGUCGACCAUGUACAGCACGGGGUGGGUGGGGAUGGGCUUCUCGCGGGACGGCCUCAUGAUCGGCUCCAGCGCCAUGGUGGGGUGGAUGGGCAAGAAGGGCCUCCCCCACAUCCGCCAGUUCUCCCUCCGCUCCAAGUCCGGCUCCAAGGCCGCCGUCGUCGACCGGGGCUUCCUCGUCUCCAACGACCACGACCACACCGUCGUCGUGCAGCAGGCCAAGAUCUACGUCGCGUUUCAGCUGAAAUUCUCCUACCGCCUCUCCCACCAGCACAUCAUCCUCGCCUUUGGCCCCGGCGUCCCCGUCAAGAACAAGCUCUCCAAGCACCAGGACAAGACCUCCUUCACAUUCGACUUCACUACUGGGAAAGGAUUCGCCGACGGGCCCUUCCCCUACGGCCUUCGGCGGGCGCACGGAGGGCUCAACCUCUUCGCCUGGGGCAUCCUCAUGCCCAUCGGCGCCAUCCUGGCCCGCUACUUCCGGCGCAUGGAUCCGCUCUGGUUCUACCUCCACGUCGGCAUCCAGUUCGCCGCCUUCAUCAUCGGCCUCGCCGGGGUCGUCGCCGGCGUCGCGCUGUACAGCAAGAUCCAGGCCGACAUCCCGGCGCACCGCGGCCUCGGCAUCUUCAUCCUUUUCCUCGGCAUCCUGCAGGUUCUGGCCUUCUUCCUGAGGCCCAACACGGACUCCAAGUACCGCAAGUACUGGAACUGGUACCACCACUGGUCGGGCAGGCUGGUGCUCUUCUUCGCCGCCGUCAACAUCGUGCUCGGGAUCCACGUCGGCGGCGGCCAUGACUCGUGGAAGAUCGGCUACGGUUUCAACCUCGCCAUCCUCCUCGUCGCCGUCAUCGGGCUCGAGUUCAUGUUGUGGACCAGGUGGUCCAAGAACAGCGCUUCCACGCCGACAUACUGA
rnacentral:rRNA from 1 species